rnacentral:lncRNA from 1 species
CCUAAAGGAGAUUCAAAAAUCAUCAGAGCUGCUCUUCCCACCACAGACCCAGCGUGCAUGGACUGAAGGACAAAGCUGUCUCCACUGUGGGCAGGACCACUAUGCAAAUGGAGUCACAAAACAAAAUGGAGUCACUUUGGCUUGACUAUCACAGAAU